AUUGAACGCUGGCGGCAGGCUUAACACAUGCAAGUCGAGCGGGGGAGGUUGCUUCGGUAACUGACCUAGCGGCGGACGGGUGAGUAAUGCUUAGGAAUCUGCCUAUUAGUGGGGGACAACAUUCCGAAAGGGAUGCUAAUACCGCAUACGCCCUACGGGGGAAAGCAGGGGAUCUUCGGACCUUGCGCUAAUAGAUGAGCCUAAGUCGGAUUAGCUAGUUGGUGGGGCAAAGGCCUACCAAGGCGACGAUCUGUAGCGGGUCUGAGAGGAUGAUCCGCCACACUGGGACUGAGACACGGCCCAGACUCCUACGGGAGGCAGCAGGGGGGAAUAUUGGACAAUGGGCGGAAGCCUGAUCCAGCCAUGCCGCGUGUGUGAAGAAGGCCUUUUGGUUGUAAAGCACUUUAAGCGAGGAGGAGGCUACUAGUACUAAUACUACUGGAUAGUGGACGUUACUCGCAGAAUAAGCACCGGCUAACUCUGUGCCAGCCGCCGCGGUAACAC
rnacentral:rRNA from 1 species